rnacentral:rRNA from 1 species
UGCGUAGGGGGCAAGCGUUGUCCGGAUUUAUUGGGCGUAAAGAGCGUGUAGGCGGCCAGACAGGUCCACUGUGAAAACUCGAGGCUCAACCUCGAGAGGUCGGUGGAAACCGUCUGGCUAGAGUCCGGAAGAGGAGAGUGGAAUUCCCGGUGUAGCGGUGAAAUGCGCAGAUAUCGGGAAGAACACCCGUGGCGAAGGCGGCUCUCUGGGACGGUACUGACGCUGAGACGCGAAAGCGUGGGGAGCGAACAGG